rnacentral:rRNA from 1 species
AUUGAACGCUGGCGGCAGGCCUAACACAUGCAAGUCGAACGAGUGGCGGACGGGUGAGUAAUGGAUGGGAAACUGCAUGAUGGAGGGGGAUAACUAAUGGAAACGGUAGCUAAUACCGCAUAACAUCAGAUGAGCCAAGAUGGGAUUAGCGAGGUGGUGGGGUAACGGCUCACCAAGGCGACGAUCCCUAGCUGGUCUGAGAGGAUGACCAGCCACACUGGAACUGAGACACGGCCCAGACUCCUACGUGAGGCAGCAGUGGGGAAUAUUGCACAAUGGGCGCAAGCCUGAUACAGCCAUGCCGCGUGUAUGAAGAAGGCCUUCGGGUUGUAAAGUACUUUCAGCGGGGAGGCGUUACCCGCAGAAGAAGCACCGGCUAACUCCGUGCCAGCAGCCGCGGUAAUAC